ensembl:lncRNA
UGGCACAUGGGAUUAAUUCCCUGACCAGGAUUUGAACCUGCCUCUGCUGCAUUGAAAGCAUGGAGUCUUAACCACUGGACCAUGAGGGAAGUCCCCCUGAUGAUCUUUGUAAUUGAUGGGACAAGGCUCACCAAGGUGGAUUCUUUACCCUCUGAGCCACCAGGGAACCCCAGGGGUCAGGAACCCCUGACACAGACUGUGCUCUGGUCUUCUGGAUCCUUCCUGGAUUUCUCACAGUGAAGGUGGCCGCCCCUGGAGAAGACAUCUCACAGAAAAGCCCAGAGCCUCAGCUCACUUGCGACUUCCCAGGUGAACUGCUGGGACCCUGCAGGGCAGGGGCCUCCAUGACCAUCCUGUCCCCCUGCCUUGAAUGGUGGUGACCACAUGAGCAUCAGGUCUCGGUGUCCUGCAUGUUCACUUCUAAGACUUUGGCACAGAUUAGGUACAAAUUGUCCCCCGAAAUAAGAGCACUCCAUACUCAGAAGAAAAUUGAUUUCCAAUCUCCUACCCAAAUGACUUUAUCAUUAGGUAGUUUGCGUCAAUUCUGCCUUUUGGAUGUGGGCCUGAGAUUCCAUCAUCAGGCCAUACCGAGAAGAAGGAGGUGCUGCUGGUGGUGGCAGCGAAGGUAAUAGACACAGAUGGACUCCGUCUAGACGGCCUGCGGACGUGCCUGACCACUCCACCCUUGGGAAACCCUGCA